rnacentral:lncRNA from 1 species
GUCUUGGCACCUCUAAUUGCUCUCGUGUAUUCGGUGCCGCGACUUUCACGAUGGCUCGCCCAACCUUACUACCUUCUGUCGGCCCUGCUCUCUGCUGCCUUCCUACUCGUGAGGAAACUGCCGCCGCUCUGCCACGGUCUGCCCACCCAACGCGAAGACGGUAACCCGUGUGACUUUGACUGGAGAGAAGUGGAGAUCCUGAUGUUUCUCAGUGCCAUUGUGAUGAUGAAGAACCGCAGAUCCACUUUGUGUCCCUGGUGAUGUUGGAACAUUAAUGAUGGAACAUGGCCAAACUUCAGUCAUGAUCCUGAAGCCAUGGUUUCUUCCCUGCCAGAAAUGAAGGUUCAGUUAUGAGGCAACCCUCUAGUAAGGCAUUGUAAAAGUUACUGGAUUUGGUUUAAUAAAAGUUGAAAUAAAGUA